CUGGCUGCACCUCUCCUAGAGCCAUUGGAGAGCUGACUGCCAGUGGGGAAGGAUCUCUGCUGGAGAUCCGCUCUGUUGGAGUUCAUCUCACGAGCCCAGGAUAGGAUAUUUGCAAGGGGUACAGAAAACUGUUCAGGAAUAUGCUUCUGUCAGGUUGUAUAAGAUGAUUAUCGCGUGGCGUGCUUAUUUUUAUUCCCUCUAUAAUCUACAUGGAAGAUCUGAUCUCUGCAAGUGAAAAGCUGGGACAUCAAUCUGCCUUUGAAAUUCGGCAUCGUGUUCAGCGUAGAGCUUCCUUCUGUGUGCUUAGCUGUUCAGUCAGAGCCCCAAACUCUGUUUUUCACUAAUGCUUUGUCGGAGAGCUGUCCUCUUCAGAGAGAUUGAAAUGAGUAAUAGUCUUUCGACACUAUUGGCAAGUGGCUUUCACGGUCCAUGGCAGAUCUAAUGAACUACAGCUGCCUGGUUGGAAAAUCCUGCCUUUGAUUGCCUGAAAGGAGACUUCUGAAGUCUCUGCUUGGAUUCACUGACUUUCUUAGGAUUUUCUUUUUCUUAAGAAGAGGACAGGGAAAACGUUCUCCUUCGUAAUCUAACAUUCACAGAUCUCAAUUUAAGGUCAUGGUGAUGCUGCACAGUAAAAAAUUUCAGGACUGACAUGCAGCAUAGACAUGCUUGGAAAUGUAAAUACAGAGGAGCGUGCCCAGCUGUGGAAAAUGUGUGUAAGCCAGCUUCCAUGCUCAACAGGUCCGCCACCAGCAGAGACUGCAAACCUCUUUUCCUCAGGGAGGGAUUCCAGCAGGAGCUGUUCUGUCAGCCAAGGUUCAUCUCCACUUUCCAUUUUGUUGCUGUUCACACAACUCCUACUCAUUUUGAUUUGUCUCCUCCUUGAGGGAGCCACUGUCCUGCUUCAGAGCCAAACUCACGGGCAGGAGAUAGAAAAGGAACUACUUCUCUCCUCAGGCUUCCUCCUCCAUUGCUGCCCCCCUGAACUUCUGCUGCAGCCCCAGGGCCUCCAGCCUGCCAGAGCUGCCAGAGGAUCCCUGCAGAAGGGUCAGGUUCUGCCUUGCAGACAGUGUCUCUUGGAGUUCUGCUGCUUAUCUGGAAGUAGAAACCCAGGAUUUUGUAGUUCCAUUGUUAAAAACAGGACGUCAGUGGAACUUGGUGGGGACAUGAACUUGUCAGCAGAGAUGCGCAUUCGUUCUGUGUUAAGGCACGGGUCAGUAGGAGUCCUAGCACUGAAGUGGUGGGGCUGACUCAAGCGUGAUUAACUUCAGUAUGUUUUGGUGAUAAGGGUGUUUGUGCUAUGCUAUUGCUAUUUUCUGGGUAAAAUUUGUGAAAGUUGUGAUUCUCACCUUUCUGAUUUCCUCUCGGAGAAAGAUGCUUUUUUCUCAUCUCCCCUUUCUUCCCGUCAUUUCUUUUCUGCCAGGCAGUUAUCCGCAAGGAAGCUGAGCCCUAAAAUGCUUUUACUCACACACGUCUCAGGAGCUCAUGUGCCAAACUGGUGAAUGUGCUUGCUGGCUGGAGCAGAAUGGAGGUACCUGAAGAGAGCAAUGAGAAGCCAGUAGUGUCCUCGGUGCUAUGACCUGCGCCGGGAGAAGGAAGCUUAUCUAUUUCCAAGGGAAGAAACGUUCGUGUAAGAAUAAAAUUACAGUUCAGUUUAUGUUUUCUGCAGAUUUGCUUCCUUGUCAGACUGAAAAGAGGCAACAGACCAGAUUUGGACAUGUAGGUUACAGCUCUGUGCACUGGCUCUGGGACACCAGUUACAUGUGGUGCUGUGCAGGAGCACAAACACGAGCCCUUGGGUAGCUGGGUGCCGUCAGCUCAGCCUCAUAUCCUGCUGACAAUCAGAGCCUCGAACGCUUGAUUGCCACAACGACUUGGUUCUGUGGGCUAUGAGGAGCUGGGUUUAGUGGUCCAUUUACAAGACCAUUUAGAUAUGUCACAACAUUCUCUCAGAGAAGAAAACUGAAGUAACACACAGAGGACACUCUGGAUUUUCCUCUAUUUUAGUGACCUGUUUAUCCUUUUUACCUAUGGAAGGGAUGGAUUUAUUGUAGGGUAACCAGUUGAGUAUAGAAGCCUGUCUGCUGACUGGAGCUAAGCUGACAGCUGUCAUUGCCUACUUUGGAAAAAUGUUGUUUUUCUUUGGAAAGUGCCCUCCAGCCCUUAUUUAGAGAUUUACUUAAUGUGGGCUGUCCUAUGGGUUAACAUCUGUGGAAUCUGUAUUUCCCUGGCAGUUGCAUCUCCCUUGGAUGUAAAAUUACAGAUGCUCACCAAUGCCCUGUUUUUGUUCGUUUUGUUUUGCUUUUUAAGAAGGGAAAAGAAACAAACCACUUAAAAUAAGCAAAUAAAAAAGCUCCCACUGAACAGUUAUACUAAAAGAAUAGUGCUACGUGUGUCUCCCCUCUCCACCUCUCACUUAAUCUUUUGCAACCAUCUCCUACUUCCUUGCUGCUGUGGGAUCAAUUUGUUGGCAAGGGUUAUUCAAACAUUAGCAGAAUGCAUGUUCUUACUGUUCUUGUUGGACGUGGUGUCGAAGCCAACAAUAACAACUCUCGUGUGGGAACUAAUGCUGGGUAUUUGAGUCAAGCUGUUCUUGGUGGUCUGUACUUUACUGCAGUGAAAAAAAAAUGCAAGAGGUUUCUUUUCCCAUAGUAUUCGUCUGUGUUCCUGUUGUUCGUUGUUUGUGGGAUCGCAGUGCCCACGGACCACUGAACCGAGUACUUCCAUUGGAUUCUGUGGCUUCCUCCACUUUCAGUCCCUGCUCAGUGUGUGCCUUUUGGAGGUGUGGGAUGUUGGUGUCACCUCUCCAUCCACCGGUUAUUGUCAAUAUGUCUCUUUGAGCUGACAGCUGACUGUGGGGACACUUGCUAGGACUGAUAAAUUUUCACUGCGGUCACAGGGCCCUUUGGAGGGCCCCGGCUGUGGGUUGGGUGCACAGCACUGAGCUGUGCUGAGGCCAAAGAUGCUGCAUGGUGUGAGCAUGGACCUCCUCUCACCAAAUCGGACCGUGCUCUCCUAGGCAAAUGCAGGGCUGGUGUGGCAGCUGGCGCUGUGCUUUGUGACAGCAGCCCACGUCUUCAGCAACCACCACAAAUUCCUCACUGGUUGUGCUUUGUUGCUGAAGUGAGAAUCCACAGCACGGGGACAUUUGGGGGAGCGGAAUGGUUUGAAGCUUUCUGCAGUGCUUCCUGUUACCCUCAGGGCACUCUCUGAAGAAAAUCACCUCUUUAUACCGUCUCUUGGAUGUGCAGCAGUCCCAGAUCAGGCAUUUCUUUAUUAAAUAAAAGGUACCAUAAGCCUAAAAGCAUUGAAAUCGGUAUUUUGAAUCCCUAGAGACCAAUCCCAGUGUGUAUCUUAUUUGGGCUAAUUUACUGAACUAGUUUGUUUCUUCUCCUGCAUAACAACCACUCCACCCACGGCAGUAUUGAAGUUGGUUUUGUCUCUGUAGCUGCCAGGAAUAACUUUACUUUGCAUGGAUAAUUAACUGGAUUGAGUAACAGGAAAAAAAAAAAGAAGGAAAAAAAAAGAGAAGAAGAAGAAGAAAAAAGCCAUUUUAUUCCCAAACUGUGGUAAUAAUAAAUCUGUUACUACUUUUGGCUCUCCCUGUUAUGACCAUAGUUGGGUAGGUCUUAAUGAGGAAGUGGCUUCCUUUUCCGGAGCUCAGAUACCAGCCAGGAGCCUGCAUCCCCAGCAUGGGUGUGGGCUGGGGGGAGCAGAAGGGCAGAAGGUGGCUGUUCUGUUGUGUUUGUCAUUAUUUUAAACUAAGCAGGAAUUCCUGCUCACAAGUAACGUUUAUCAUUAUUUUUUCCUGCAAGCUGUACACUUCCUAUCUUUGAGACGAGGUAAAAAAUGGAAUUUCUGAUCAUGUUAGAAUCAAUGAUUUUCUGAGAGGGGAAUCUUUCAAAGUACGUUUUUCUUUGAUUUAAAAUAAAAAAAAAACCCACGAAGUAUUGAAAAUAGACUUAAUUUUGAGUUGCUUUGUAAUUCUAAAAUUGUCACUUUGAGAGAUAUUUGGAGCAUUUCUGCAGAGAGAUUUGGUUUAUUCCACUCUGAUUUCUGCACAGCUUGUCUUCUCUGCAAAGCAGUCACAAUGAGAUAAAGCUGAGGAAGGGAAUCUAAAAGACUUUAAUACUGUUUUAAAUAGUUAUGGUUGCAAAACUUGGGAAUGUGUGGAAGAAACUCCUUUGUUUUCCCCACACUGAGCAGCAGUACUGUGAUACAGCGACUGCAAGGGAGGACUGUGAGCACAACGAAACGUGGUGUUUUGAUAUCAGAAGCAUCUAAAAUUGACAGAGGUAGCUUUGGUAAUGGAAAAGUUAUGAGCGUAAGUUCUUAUUAAUAACUCCAUCUGUGUUAUUAUUCUGCCUAAAACUUGUUCCUGCUGUCCAAAGAAGGCAAAACAGGAAAAAUAUUACAUUGAUGUGAAAAAUUUAAGUCUAAUAUGUGUUUCAAACUGUCCUCUCUGUGCAUGGGAAGAAGAAAAGAUUAAAGCUGCAAUACAAUAGCCCUCCUUUAGAAAGUGAGCUGGGAGGAGGAAGUCAAUACCAAGGAAUGUUCUCACCAAAGGUAAGGAAUUGCAUCUGUGUCUUAAAUGUCACACUUACUAUUCGUUUUAGUUGAAAAAAUAACAGAAAAACAACUGUGGUAUAAAGAGAAGUAAAUCAUGGAAGCUGCAUUCUUGCUGGAUUAAGAAAGGAAACAGGGAAACUAUAUUUAAAAUGAGUGCAUGAGAAAACAAUUUGCUAGGAUUGAGAGGGCAAGGUUUGUUGUUCCUUCUAUCCAGCUUUAAACACUUGUGGUCUGAAAUGGUCAGCUGUUAUUUUGGGGAAAUAAAUCCAAAUAAAUCUGUAGACACCCCAAGCAGAAACUUGCAUCCUGCAAUACUGGGGAUGCACCACUUGUGACACGCAGAAAUCCAUCUGAACUCUGAUGCUGCUAAGGGUGGUACUGCAGGACGCCCUUUCUGCGUGAGGCUUCAGAGAAACACCUUCCGGAUCCAACGCACUCCCUUCGUGUGUCACAGUACUUCAGUUUGUUGAUGUUUUGCAGACACUGGACCAUUUCCAGGCUACGGCUCACGAGUUGUAUGUCCUCCAGUCAGUGCGGAUGACUUGUUUUGUUUUCAUGUGAAGAUUGUGGCUAUCUCAGAUGUGUAGGAUGGACGUUCUGCUGGGUGACCAACUCCCUGCCCUGGGGAAGAUAAAUCAGACAGCACAUGUACCACUGCCCAGGUCUUCUGUGGGUGGACAGAUAGUUUAGUUGUGUCGAAGUGCUUGCAGUAGAUGGAGCCGUCCCUCAGUGAGAGCUCAUCAGGACAACAGGUUGGAGCACUGACUCGUUGGGUCUGAGACGUCUUUUUUUCUUUCCUGCAUCUGUCAGUGUGUUUUACGUGCCAGUAGCUCAGCUUUACCUCCUCAUUGCUGCAAGCUGGCUGCUGAAAAGGAAGUGCUUACCUGAUGACAGUGAGAUUGUGUGGGAAAUAGACAAGCCUGGGACAACGCUGAUAGAUUGGAAGUUGUUUAUGCAAAGGUUUCUAAGGGAGCAGGACAAGUUGCUUGUAACAUAACUUUCUAAUUUAGUUUUGUUAGUUUUUAUUCUGCUUCUGGGUAUUUAAUAGCUGUGGCAUGUGUGCUGCUUUCCCAUCUGCACGGAAUAAAAGAAAUGGAAUUGUAUAGUUGCUUUCAUAUGUAGACCCCAGUUCAGUUAGUCACUUCAGGGCUAGGCAGCUGGAAUGGAGCUGUAGAUUGACCAACAUCUUGAGACCAUCUGGAAACACAGGUGAAGUCAGAACACGAUGGCCCAAUUACAUAAGAGCUGAAUUUGACGUGCCCUGGUUUUCUUCACCCAGGGCUGAAGGGAGUACUCCAUACUCUUCUUUAGAGCUUUUGAGAUCAUUUGCAUGCCCCCUUGUGUUUAACCAUCUCACCUUGGCUUGCACAGGGAAAGAGAUGGUUUUUGGAACAUGGAACAACAACAAAAAUGUCGUUGGUUUUUGGGUUUUUUUUGUCAAUGCCCUUCCAUAAUCUAACAAUACAGACUUCUUUGCCUUUUGGAGUAUCUUUAUCCAUUAGUUUCCAGGGGGGCUGCAGAGUGGUGUUAUACAAAACUCUAAAUACGAGACUUCAAUAUCAGAUAUUCGGUUUCAGACAGAAUUUGCUGAACAUCACAAUUCAGAUACGGGUGUCCUGAGAGAUCAGAAAUAAACCUGGGAAAUAAUGUCAGAAAUAAAUUAUUUUCAUAAAUGUUCAAAAAUAGCAGAAUUUGGGCCUGUGGUGAAAAUGUUUACUAUCUGGGAUUACUUUAGGUUCUUAGUUAUGGCAAAUCUGGUAAUCUGAAAAUACCUUAAAAGAGAUUGCCAAGAUUAGGAUGAACACAGGAGAGAGGUCUGUGGCUUUCAGAUUGGGCACAUGGUCAAAGGAACUGCUCCGAGGCUGGUGAAAAACAAAGAGAAGUCUGUGUGUAGGAAGCAGGGGAUGUAAGGAACUGAUCUUCACGCAGUUGGAAUCUGCUCUCAGUUUUUCAUGGCAAAGCAAGUCGGCCCUCUGUGGACUUUCUAAACCAAAUGAAUUAUGGUCUCGAAUAGUAAUGUGGUAUUGCUAAUGAUUUCAUUGCUGACCACAGCUGUUGGCAGUAAGGCUGGCUCUAUCAUUUCAUUUGAUAUAUUUUUGAAGCGCUUUGCUUAUUAAAUUAGAUGACUCCUUUUUACAUACUGUUCAAGCUAGAGCUGUCAAGU